AGAAAGCUUCUUCGGAAGUGAGUACAGCGGCGGACGGGUGAGUAACACGUGAGAAUCUACCCUUUAGUGAAGAAUACCCUCGAGAAAUUGAGGUUAAUGCUGCAUACGUCCCUCCGGGGAGAAAGGUGGCUUUAUGCUGCCGCUAAAGGAUGAGCUUGCGCGCUAUUAGCUUGUUGGUGAGGUAAAGGCUCACCAAGGCUUUGAUGGCUAGCCGGCCUGAGAGGGUGUUCGGCCACAUUGGAACUGAGAUACGGUCCAGACUCCUACGGGAGGCAGCAGUGGGGAAUAUUGCGCAAUGGGCGAAAGCCUGACGCAGCGACGCCGCGUGGAGGAUGAAGGCUUUUGGGUCGUAAACUCCUGUUAGGUGGAAGAAAAGCCUGUUUUUAAUACAAACAGGUACUGACGGUACCACCAGAGAAAGCACCGGCUAACUUCGUGCCAGCAGCCGCGGUAAUACGAGGGGUGUAAGCGUUAUUCGGAAUUACUGGGCGUAAAGGGUGCGUAGACGGCGCAUUAAGUCUGUUGUUAAAUUUUUCGGCCUAACCGGGAAGCUGCAAUGGAAACUGAUGUGCUAGAGAAUGAGAGAGAGAAGUGGAAUUCCCGGAGUAGCGGUAAAAUGCGUGGAUCUCGGGAGGAACACCA
rnacentral:rRNA from 1 species